UACGUAGGGUGCGAGCGUUGUCCGGAAUUAUUGGGCGUAAAGGGCUCGUAGGCGGUUUGUCGCGUCGGGAGUGAAAACCAGGUGCUUAACACCUGGCUUGCUUUCGAUACGGGCAGACUAGAGGUAUUCAGGGGAGAACGGAAUUCCUGGUGUAGCGGUGAAAUGCGCAGAUAUCAGGAGGAACACCGGUGGCGAAGGCGACUCUCUGGUCUGUAACUGACACUGAGGCGCGAAAGCGUGGGGAGCAAACAGG
rnacentral:rRNA from 1 species